rnacentral:rRNA from 1 species
ACUCCUACGGGAGGCAGCAGUGGGGAAUUUUGGACAAUGGGGGCAACCCUGAUCCAGCCAUACCGCGUGAGUGAAGAAGGCCUUCGGGUUGUAAAGCUCUUUCAGCCGGAAAGAAAUCGUGCAGGUUAAUAACCUGUAUGGAUGACGGUACCGGAAGAAGAAGCACCGGCUAACUACGUGCCAGCAGCCGCGGUAAUACGUAGGGUGCGAGCGUUAAUCGGAAUUACUGGGCGUAAAGCGUGCGCAGGCGGUUUUGUAAGACAGAUGUGAAAUCCCCGGGCUUAACCUGGGAACUGCAUUUGUGACUGCAAGGCUAGAGUGCGGCAGAGGGGGGUAGAAUUCCACGUGUAGCAGUGAAAUGCGUAGAUAUGUGGAGGAAUACCGAUGGCGAAGGCAGCCCCCUGGGUCGACACUGACGCUCAUGCACGAAAGCGUGGGGAGCAAACAGGAUUAGAUACCCUGGUAGUCCACGCCCUAAACGAUGUCAACUAGGUGUUGGGGAAGGAGACUUCUUUAGUACCGCAGCUAACGCGCUAAGUUGACCGCCUGGGG